CAACGAGGCAUUUGCAACUCAUUGUAGAAUGGCCUUUAGUCUCCUUACGACAAUCUUUAUGCUCAAGUCCUUACACAUGUUACGACAAAAUUUGUUGUAACGGAAAAUCACAUGACACUAGAAGCCAAUCAGUGCAUUCGACAACGUUGACAAACGUUAAAUGAAGAAAUUGUACCCUAAUAAGUAUCCACGUAUUUUAUCCGAUAAGACGAAGAGUAUUAUGUGAAUUUUUCGUCCUAUCCACAAAAAAAGUUACCACAAUCAAAAACUAACUUUGGCCAACUUAAUAAGAAGUUCAACAGAUUUGGCAUGAUCUGCAUAGACACGAUCAAUCACGUCGACGACUCGAAUGUGAAGCCAACUAGCUCAUGUCGGUCAACUUGCACAACUGGCUGAAUUGCUGAAUUACAGACACAAUUUUUUAAUGACGACGACAAUGGAUUCUACGUAACUCUUAAUUGCAUUAAGUAACUUCUUUUAGGACCAUACAAAAGUCAUUCGUAACUAACCUCGAAACAAAAAUGAUGUUUUUCUCGCAAAGGACAAGGUCUAUUAAUAUGGAUCAAGGACAAUAUGGACCGCUUCAUGUAUUUGGAAAUUUUGUCCGAACACAUGCUGUCAUAUACAAAAAAAAAUAUGUCUCAAAACUAGAUUUUUCAGCAAGACAACAAUUCAAAACAAUUCUCAAUAUGUCAAAGAAUUCUUUGCGAAGAAUAAAAUGAACGUUAUAAACUGGCCUAGUUAAAGUCCACAUUUGAAUCCCAUUGAACACAUACGGGAAGAGCUUGGAAGACGAAUCAAAAACAGAAAAUUUCCAAAAAAAAAUAAGAACGAAACGACUUUUUACUUCUUAUUUAAGCAAAGAAUGGUCAAAAAUCCCUUUUGUUGUCAAAUUAAUUGAUUCAAUGUCAGAGAUGUCAAACUUAAAGUGGCAAUUAAUUAAAAUGGCAAAUGGUUAUGCAUAAGAUACUAAAAACAUGAUUUAGAUACAAAAAAGUUUAUUUUCUUUUAAAAAUUAAUUACUUUUUUAAGGACAAUAUUGUGUCAAAAUACUUUUGAACUGUCCUGUUUUAGUUUCUUGUCACCUACUCUUAUAAAAAAUUAUAUAAUUAUCGGUUUUUGUUAUAAAAUAUUUAAGUUAUUGAUGAGUAUUUUGCUUAAUUUUUUUUAAAUUUAUAAUUACAUUAUAAGUAAAGUUAUAUGACAUAAUAUCUUCGUCAAAAUACUUAUGAGCGCUGCUGUAUAUUUUUUAUUACACACAUUUAUAGCCUCUUAUGGCCAAAAUCGUCUUGUAUGUUCUGUAUUCUUUACAAAGAAUAAAAUUAACGUUAUAGACUGGCCUA